CGGAAGCAGGUUCCAGGCUCUGAGCUGUCAGCACAGAGCCCGAUGCGGGGCUCGAACUCACGAACCCUGAGAUCGUGACCUGAGCUGAAGUCGGUCGCUCAACCGACUGAGCCACCCAGGUGCCCCUGUUGUUUAUUUAUUUUUGACAGAGAGACCACGAGCAAGGGAGGGGCAGAGAGAGAGGGAGACACAGAAUCCGAAACAGGCUCCAGGCUCUGAGCUGUCAGCACAGAGCCCGACACGGGGCUCAAACCCACGAGCUGUGAGAUCGUGACCUGAGCCCAAGUUGGAUACGCAACCGACUGAGCCAUCCGGGCGCCCGGUCCCUUCCUCUUUUCCAUCCUACGGUCCUCCUGCUUGAGCUGUCUCCACUGUCCCCUCUCACCCCACCCCUAAUGGCUUACCUCCCCAGGCUGUCAUCUCUCCGAUUUCAUGCCAUCUGUCACCCAAGCAGGUGCCUCUGUGAGGACUGUGUGUCCUGGGGUUAGCACGUUGCUGGUAUUCAGGACACAGAACAUGGAGCCACGUGGCUGCAUCCUCAGAGGCUGUUCGUUGGGUGUCACAAGACCGAGGAGGUAAAAUAAACCUUUCACACCCCAAAUGUGACUGAAACCGGUAAGCAAACAAGAUCAUGGUUUACAACGCCAGGCUUUCUUGGGUACGAUUAUCAGGUCUCUGGAGAGGAUGGGAGCCAGCCUGCCUGAGGGAUGGGCGAGAAUUGUGCCAACCUAAGUCUGGCUUGGAUGGUCAGAGCUGCACUGGUGUCCUUUGAGCUCAUUUCCUCCCCUCACCCGUGCACAAAGUUUUGGGGACCCUACAGACCUCUCUCUUGUCCUACAGGCUAUAGAAACACCGGGCUGCAGCAAAAUAAUCCUAGUUUGCAUCUAUCCUCCGAGGGUGAAGAACAAUCAACAUGUAGUAAAUGUGAUGGUGAUGGGCCACCUGCAUAAUGGCCCGUCACAGUUGGACACGGGAGAGUGGAGAGUUCUGGGGACCCCAGAUCCCAAUUAGAGAUUGCCAUCUGGUAGUUUCGUUAAGCAUAGCACAUCCCUUGUGUCAGUGUUUAUAAGCUCACGGCCUCGUUGUGCACACUCAAUCUGGCAAAAGAAGGAAUCCUUUGAUAAAGGAGGGGUGAUCAUCACAGGACGGACAAAGGAGGGCUGCGGAAUCAGAGUUUAGGGGCCCAGGGUGCCCUGGCCAACUGAUAGGGCAUUUGCCCUUGGUGGAAUGAAGUCAUCGGGUUAUUAUUGUUCCGUAACCAACUUCCUGCCUAUUUUUGGCUACCCACACAGAUAGCCACUGCACUAACCAGGUUAACUUGGUUUGACAUUUAUCAUCAUAUACAAGAGCCAACUGUCGUCCCGGCACAUCCACCUCAGUCCAUUGUGAGUUAGGUCUCCGUGUGAGUCUCAGCCUGGUAGUGACCCUCUGGGUACACGGACCACAUCAGGUUCAUUCACUCCCUGAGUCUGGAUCACCUCAUGGACUGGGCAGCACAAGCUUCCAAACCACUCCUCUCCGACCUCUCCUGCUGCCUCCUCCUCAAACACGGGCGACAUUACGGGACUAUCUUGUUCAGGAAUGCUUUACGUGGACCAAGCCAAACUCCUUGGCCGGGCUUUCCUGGUCUUUCGUAAUUUGGCCUCAUCAUGCUUUGUUUUUCAUGACAGCCCAAAAUGUUCUCUGUUGGUCUCCCAGGUUACUCAGCGUGGCUCUCCCACCGAUGGCUCCUGCCCGUUCUCCUCUGCCCGCAAGUCCUGCCGCUACACCUCUUCCGAACGCGGCUCCAGCCCUUUAGCCCAUCCCGUCCUCUCCAGCCCUCCCCAAAUCGCCGGAGAGGACGGGAGACAAGGUCCUUGAAAUAAAGGCUUCCUGACUCUCCCGCA